UUCAGGGCUGAUUUCCUUUAGGAUUGACUGGUUUGAUCUCCUUGCUAUCCAUGGGACUUUCAGUAUGUCAGUGACAAAUAGGGUUUAUCCCAGAAUCGCAAAGUUGGUUUAACAUAGAACGAAUUAAUGUUUUUCAGCACAUUAACAGAAUAAAAACUGUAUGAUCAUUUAAGUAUAUGUGGGAAAAGUAUUUGACAAAUCAGCAUCUAUUCCUUACUAAAAACUCUUAGCAGACUAGGGGUGAUAGGAAAUUUCCUCAGACUAAAAGCAUCCGUGAGGCCCAUAGCUCCGCCCCCCAGGAGACUCGGCACCACCAUGGAGGAGUACCAUCGCCCCUGCGAAGAGGUUGGCUUCAAUGCUGAUGAAGCCCACAAUAUCGUUAAAGAGUGUAUAGAUGGGGUCUUGGGAGGUGAAGACUAUAAUCAGAACAAUAUCAACCAAUGGACUGCAACCAUAGUGGAACAAUCCUUAGCACAUCUGGUUAAGUUGGGAAAAGCUUGUAAGUAUAUUGUGACCUGCGCAGUGGUCCAGAGGAGUUCAUAUGGCUUUCACACAGCCAGCUCAUGUUUUUGGGACACCACAUCUGAUGGAACCUGCACUGUAAGAUGGGAGAACCGAACCAUGAACUGUAUCGUCAACGUUUUUGCCAUUGCUAUUGUCCUGUAGCUGGCUAAAAAUACUUGGCCAAAGCCAUUAACCUAAGAAUUUCUCAGUGUAUCCUUUCUAAAAAGAGUAACAGUUACUUAUUCUUAUGCUAGAUGACAAGUGUGCAAUAUGCUAAAAGCAUCCGUGAAAAAGCUUUAUACAUCACUGCUUCCUGGGAGAUGAGGAACAAAGCACAAAUGCCUGCUUUCACUGUUUAUAUUCCGUACUGUUCUAGAGGGCCUGCCCAGAGCAAGAAUGGGGAAACCAGGAAAAAGCAAAAAGAUGGGAAAGGAGGAAAUAAAACUGCUCCUGUUUGCAGAUUAUGUAAUUGUUUACCUAGAAUAUUGCAGUGAUUCUAAACAGGUUUAAUAAGGUUAUAAGAUAGAAGGUUAAUAGACAAUCUGUUAUAUUUUAUCAUUUUAUAGAUGUGAAAGAGAUACAAGCUAGCCUCAUCUUUUUCCCAAUAGUUUUUUUCUUAAAAAGUCAUAAUUUUAAUUCUUAUCUUUCAUUGUUUCUUCAUGCAUAUAUAAGCUUAAAUGUAUGUAUUUAUAUAUGUGCGUAUUCUUUGUUUUUUCUUCCAGUUGUAAUGAGAAAUAAUCGACAUUUCCCAACAUUUUAUCUAAAAAAUUUUCAAUUAUACAUAAAAGUUGAAAGAAUUACAUAGUGAACACAUACAUGGUCUCUCCCUAGAUUCUUUAAUUUAGUUAACCUCUGUUGUGUCUGCUUUACCAAAUAUGUUCAUCUAGUCAUUCCCCUCUUUUUUCAUUCCAGAUUAAGUUGCAGACAUCCAUAAACACUUGAGUACACAUUUCAUCAAAGUUCUAAUAUUUGUAUG